rnacentral:rRNA from 1 species
AUGGGCUGGGGUGCGUAGCGUGGGACCCGAAUCAGUAGUAGUCAAGCGAUGGGGUGACGCAGGAAGGUAGUCGGACCACGGCGAUGGUAGUCCGUGGCUAAGAGUGUAGGGCGUGACGUAGGCAAAUCCGCGUCGCAUGUGCCUGAGACUUGAUGGGGACCCCGUUUGGGGGAAGCCGAUGAUCCUAUGCUGCCGAGAAAAACCUCUAGCGAGCUAUGAGCCGCCCGUACCCCAAACCGACUCAGGUGAUCAGGUAGAGAAUACCAAGGCGAUCGAGCAAACCAUGGUUAAGGAACUCGGCAAAAUGCCCCCGUAACUUCGGGAGAAGGGGGGCCGGAUCCGUGACGCCACUUGCUGGCGGUAGCGGUGAUGGCCGCAGAGACCAGGCCCAAGCGACUGUUUAUUAAAAACACAGGUCCGUGCGAAGUUGUAAGACGAUGUAUACGGACUGACUCCUGCCCGGUGCUGGAAGGUUAAGGGGACGGGUUAGACACUUUGGUGUCGAAGCUCAGAACUUAAGCCCCAGUAAACGGCGGUGGUAACUAUAACCAUCCUAAGGUAGCGAAAUUCCUUGUCGGGUAAGUUCCGACCUGCACGAAUGGAGUAACGACUUGGGCGCUGUCUCAACCGUGGACUCGGCGAAAUUGCACUACGAGUAAAGAUGCUCGUUACGCGCGGCAGGACGGAAAGACCCCGGGACCUUUACUAUAGUUUGGUAUUGGUGUUUGGUUCGGCUUGUGUAGGAUAGGUGGGAGACUGUGAAACCUCGACGCCAGUUGGGGUGGAGUCAUCGUUGAAAUACCACUCUGGUCGUACUAGAUGUCUAACCUAGGUCCAUUAUCUGGAUCAGGGACAGUGCCUGAUGGGUAGUUUAACUGGGGCGGUUGCCUCCUAAAAUGUAACGGAGGCGCUCAAAGGUUCCCUCAGCCUGGUUGGCAAUCAGGUGUUGAGUGUAAGUGCACAAGGGAGCUUGACUGUGAGACAGACAUGUCGAGCAGGGACGAAAGUCGGAACUAGUGAUCCGGCGCUGGCAUGUGGAAGCGGCGUCGCUCAACGGAUAAAAGGUACCCCGGGGAUAACAGGCUGAUCUUCCCCAAGAGUCCAUAUCGACGGGAUGGUUUGGCACCUCGAUGUCGGCUCGUCGCAUCCUGGGGCUGGAGUAGGUCCCAAGGGUUGGGCUGUUCGCCCAUUAAAGCGGCACGCGAGCUGGGUUUAGAACGUCGUGAGACAGUUCGGUCCCUAUCCGCCGCGCGCGUAGGAAACUUGAGAAAGGCUGUCCCUAGUACGAGAGGACCGGGAUGGACGAACCUCUGGUGUGCCAGUUGUCCCGCCAGGGGCACGGCUGGUUAGCUACGUUCGGAAGUGAUAACCGCUGAAUGCAUCUAAGCGGGAAGCACGUUUCAAGAUGAGGUUUCCCACCACGAGAGUGGUUAAGGCCCCCAGUAGACGACUGGGUUGAUAGGCCGGAGGUGUACAGCAGUAAUGCCUAGCCGACCGGUACUAAUAGGCCGAGGGCUUGUCAU